CUCAGGAGAGCGGCCGGAGCCCUUUCCCUCCGAUGGUUCUCGAAUCCUUGGAUUUUAUUUUCUCGAUGGUGGUCACUGAAGAAACUAAGCAGAGUAUUUGGAGGGAAGGUUCUUUCUGAAACAGAAACAUUGGAUCAAAGUCUUUGGCACCCUCUCCUGAUUUCACGGCUUACAGGCUUCUCCCAGAGAGCAGAAGGCACUUCUUUUUUUGUAUGAAUGUGCCAUGCAUUAAUGCUACAGCAAAAGAAAACUGCAGUCUACAUAACAAAGAGGAUGCAGAGCAGAGUGGAUUAAGGGCAGCACAACAUCAAAUUGGACAGGAGAGAUUGUUCAGUCUUCAGCUGGGAAAAACAUAACAAAACACAUGAUCUGUAUGUGCUUAUGUGAGACCUUUGCAGCUUCUGUGUAUUAAAGGAAGCCUGAUAAAUCCUUUCUUACCAGUCCAAACUGUACAUGGGACAGGUGGACUGCAUCCUGCUUUGCUACACUCAUGUAAACCUACUGUGAUUUUACUGACUUCUGGGACCAUACUGUUCAAUACUACUUCUAUUUAUUGUAAUUGCACAUCUAAUUAAACAGUUUACAAAGAGGGGGAGUGGAGGAACACUAGACUGCUAACAGGACUCAUGGCACAAGUGUAUGUUGCUUUCUGUCGAGUACUGUGGGAUUUCACAAACAAUUCAGGAAGAAAAACCAGAGAUGUCUGCUGGAGCACAUAACCCCUUUGACUCUGAGGAGCAAGGGUUUUGGCUAAUAGAACUGCCUAGUCCCAGACACUAAUGAACAGCCACUUUGUACAUCUUAUACUUGGCUCUAGGAAGGUGUAUAAUGAAAUGCAAUAAACCAUUUUGUUGUUUGAUUUAUCCCUUUUUGCUACCACAUAGUGCUGUUA